UGGAGGAAGAUUCCCACCCAGGAGAUGGCUCAAGAGUAGAUCAACCUGGACAUUUAGUUCUUUUUCCUUCCAGGUGCUUCAUGAUUGUAGCUGCCCCAGGGCAUUUUACCACAUUGCUACCACGGAACAUGCUGUUCUUUGCAUGAGGUUUUGGAACUACACUCAAGAGGAGCGGCCGUGUGCUGUCUGAUGUCAGCAGAGACAGUCCUUGGAUACUUGGCUUUGCAAGCAGUUCCUCCAAGUCUUUGCGUGCCGUCUGUGGGCGAAGCAGCCAUCAAGCCCGGUCGUGUUGUGACGUGAAAGCUUCAUUUCGCCGGUGCUGGGCGACUGGGAUCAUGGGUUUCAGUCCCGGCCUCUCGCGGGUUGGGAGGACAAUUGCUGCUUGGCCUCUAGGUGGCACUGUUGUAUCUAUUGUAAGAGGCGCUGCACUUGGCCACAUCCCUGCUAUUUAAGAUGGAGGAGAAAAAAGAAAAGAAAAAAAUAAUAAAAUACACCCCCCCUCCGCCAGCCCCCCCAUCUCCUAACAUCACAACCUGCUUUACCUAGGCACACCCCCUCCGUCCUGCCCAAGGACACUAUACGUUGUUUAACCUCAAAUGAUUUACUUAAAAUCAGUGUUUCUCUUACUUCCUUUGCUAUAUAGGGACGUAUCAAGUUCAGAUAGCAUUCAUUUGAGAUCUUAGCUGCCCAGGAUAGUACCUGCCUUUCCCCGUUUUGCUACCCCUGCCCCAGUCCUCCCGUUUUCCCUUCCAUACUGCUGCCACACUGUGCCAGGUCACGGUGGUUCCUGGGACCCUGGGAGGCACUGGUGAGGAGUGGAGUCGGGGCUGAAAGGAGCAGCUUGGCAGACCUGUAAGGACCAGGAAGAUGGCAAACUGGCUGAAAUUCGAAAGGGAGUGGAAGGGAAGCCAGUUCCUGCUUCUCCCAUUCCAUUCUUUCUGGCAGUCUAGAAAACCUGUUUCCUCCCCGGCUGAUGGGUUUGGGCUAAGUGUGAGGAUUAUAUUCUGACAUCUAGUUAGAGCUCACUCAUUAGGAUUGCCUCAGUUUCCCCAGUGCUGAGAUGGGACAUCCUACUGACCCA